rnacentral:rRNA from 1 species
CCUACGGGAGGCUGCAGUGGGGAAUAUUGGACAAUGGGGGGAAGCCUGAUCCAGCGACGCCGCGUGAGUGAAGAAGUAUCUCGGUAUGUAAAGCUCUAUCAGCCGGGAAGAAAAUCACGGUACCUGACUAGGAAGCCACGGCUAACUACGUGCCAGCAGCCGCGGUAAUACGUAGGGGGCAAGCGUUAUCCGGAUUUACUGGGUGUAAAGGCGGCGUAGCCGGUGUAGCAAGUCUGAUGUGAAAGGGCGGGGCCCAACCCCGGGACUGCAUUGGAAACUGUUGAACGGGAGUACGGGAGAGGUAAGCGGAAUUCCUAGUGUAGCGGUGAAAUGCGUAGAUAUUAGGAGGAACACCAGUGGCGAAGGCGGCUUACUGGACUGUAACUGACGUUGAGGCUCGAAAGCGUGGGGAGCAAACAGGAUUAGAUACCCGAGUAGUC